rnacentral:antisense_RNA from 1 species
CUUCAGCGAACCCAGCCACAGCGGUUCCGCGCGGUCCUGGCCGUAGGUGGCGAGGAUGGCCUCCGCCUC